AUCCAAUAUUGUAGGCCAUUCCGUGGCCCUCGCCUCCCCCGCUGAAGGGCAUCAUCCAAUCCAUAGCCACCGUUGGUUUCCAUCGCAGGAGGAGCACCAGCAGCCGUCCCGUCAUCUCAUCUGUCUCUCUUCUGUCGAGCUAGUGUCCAUACGUCGAGGCGGAGGAAUUUACCCGUUGUUACGGGCGGGGCCCUCCGCAAUCCUUGAGAAGGUCGACACCAACUGCCGUGUCAGCACAACACGAAGUGCUGCUACAAAUGCACGGUGGAAUUGAUGAGGGACGACAACGGCGCCACCACCAGGUUAGCUGUUCUCUGAUUGGUGAGGUUUUGUCAUUUGCUCACGCUUGGAUGCCUGGCUGUCGGAGCCGCCAUCGCCGCCGACGACCAUGGAGCCCGCCUCAGCAUUCCUCGAGCGCACGCGCGCGUGCUGCACCGCUCCAGUCAUCAGCCGCCCUCCCGCGGGUUUCAUCUCGUCUCUCCAUCUACGUCGAUACAACUCGCCGGCCCAAAUCGACUCAUCGACCACGCCCGUUGCCAGGCUCCCGUCUCCUUGGGUUUCCUCUCAAACGGGUCUCCUGAAACAGUUCAACCCUCAUAUCUGUUCCUUCUCAUCCGUAUUGGUCAGUCUCAUUUCUGUAGUAAGCGGUUAUUCUCUCUUCAUAUGUGUGAUUUUUUCUUUGGAUAAGAUUGGGAAGGAGAGCCUCAAGGUGAGGGAUCACAUCUACUCCUGGAAGGCGGCGUGGGUCUACGCGCAUCACGGUGAUUUCUUUGAACUGAAAAUGUUUCUAGCGUUGAGAUUUAGUUAUCUUCUUGGGGCAUGGAUUGAUUAUCUAGAUAUAACACCAGCACCAUUUGUUCUUGGAAAAGGCUACUCGCAUUGAUUCAGCAGUGGGAAGUGUCCUGGGAUGACACCUUAGAUCCAGCAGUUUCUUACAAAAUUGGUCAGGUUGUGGAUGCUAAAGUUAUUCAUCUGGACUAUAAUAAUAGCCGCAUAUUUUUGUCACUUAAAGAUGUAAAGGUGAUGGUGGAGACAACACUUGGCAAAGAAGAGUUGAAAGAGGCAGUUUUGAUGUGCACUAGCACUAAUAGGGUUAGCUAGGAUCUCCAUGAUGUGCAUUUGAUGGGGGACUAAUUUCUCGGGUUGCUAGCUAGAUUGGAACAACAUACAGACUGAGGGCAAGUAUCGUCGAUGGAGCUGCUAAGUUAAAUUGUUUGUUCAGUUGACAGAAACAAAGGCAAUUAACUCACAUUCUACUACGUGGAACAAGAAACAGCCUUGCUAGAGGAAUGGUAGCAGGAACUUUGAUA